UACAGAGGUCUCAAGCGUUGUUCGGAUUCAUUGGGCGUAAAGGGCGCGUAGGCGGGUUAAUAAGUUGUUUGUGAAAUCCCUGGGCUUAACCUAGGAGCAGCAAAUAAGACUGUUGAUCUGGAGUGCAGUAGAGGGUAGUGGAAUUUCCGGUGUAGCGGUGAAAUGCGUAGAUAUCGGAAGGAACACCAGUGGCGAAGGCGGCUACCUGGACUGACACUGACGCUGAGGCGCGAGAGCGUGGGUAGCAAACAGG
rnacentral:rRNA from 1 species